rnacentral:rRNA from 1 species
GACGAACGCUGGCGGCGUGCUUAACACAUGCAAGUCGAACGGAAAGGCCCUGCUUUUGUGGGGUGCUCGAGUGGCGAACGGGUGAGUAACACGUGAGUAACCUGCCCUUGACUUUGGGAUAACAUCAGGAAACUGGGGCUAAUACCGGAUAGGAGCUCCUGCUGCAUGGUGGGGGUUGGAAAGAUUCGGCGGUUGGGGAUGGACUCGCGGCUUAUCAGCUUGUUGGUGGGGUAGUGGCUUACCAAGGCUUUGACGGGUAGCCGGCCUGAGAGCGUGACCGGCCACAUUGGGACUGAGAUACGGCCCAGACUCCUACGGGAGGCAGCAGUGGGGAAUUUUGCACAAUGGGCGGAAGCCUGAUGCAGCAACGCCGCGUGCGGGAUGACGGCCUUCGGGUUGUAAACCGCUUUCGCCUGUGACGAAGCGUGAGUGACGGUAAUGGGUAAAGAAGCACCGGCUAACUACGUG